CCUAUUAUAAACUAUUGCAGACAUACCAGUAUAUUAAAAUAAGACAAAUAUAAGACAGAAGAUAAAAGACAUAAAGUUAUAUAAGGGACAAGAUACAGAUAAACUCAUUGUAAUAAUAACAAAUAAAUAUACCGGAAUUAAUUUCAAUUAUUAUCAAGAAAUCAUAACAACAAAAAAAAUACUGUGGAAGUUAAUCACUUUGUGAGUAUCAUUUUUUUUUGUGACUUGUGAAAACAUCUUUGGUUUGGUUAAUGGGUUUUUAAAAAAGUGUUUUUAAGAUUGCUUGAUUGUUGGUUGCUAACAUACAGUGUCGAUUGUGGUUUUAAUCCAAACUUAAUGUAAAUAUAAUUUUGUCUGACCAAAAUUUAGUAGGAGAUCUAUAUAGAAUCAUGACUCCUGCAAAAAUUGUAAUCUCAAAACAAUAACAAAUUCAUAAAAUAACUAUAAAAUAACAUUAAAAGAAAAUAGAUAAAAAUUAACAACAGUUGUAAUCUCUUAGCAUUAAA
rnacentral:lncRNA from 1 species